AUUGAACGCUGGCGGCAGGCCUAACACAUGCAAGUCGAACGAGUGGCGGACGGGUGAGGAAUGUCUCUGAAAAUGUCCGAGAGAGGGGGAUAUCAACACGAAAAGCUGGCUAAAACCGCACAUCAUCGGAUGUGCCCAGAGGGGAUUAGCUUGUAGGUGGGGUAACGGCUCACCCAGGCGACGAUCCCUAGCUGGUCUGAGAGGAUGACCCGCCACACUGUAACUGAGACACGGUCCAGACUCCUACGGGAGGCAGCAGUGGGGAAGAUUGCACAAUGGGCGCAAGCCUGAUGCAGCCAUGCCGCGUGUAUGAAGAAGGCCUUCGGGUUGUAAAGUACUUUCAGCGGGGAGGCGUUACCCGCAGAAGAAGCACCGGCUAACUCCGUGCCAGCAGCCGCGGUAAUAC
rnacentral:rRNA from 1 species